GAUGAACGCUGGCGGCGUGCCUAAUACAUGCAAGUCGAGCGAACGGACGAGAAGCUUGCUUCUCUGAUGUUAGCGGCGGACGGGUGAGUAACACGUGGAUAACCUACCUAUAAGACUGGGAUAACUUCGGGAAACCGGAGCUAAUACCGGAUAAUAUUUUGAACCGCAUGGUUCAAAAGUAAAAGACGGUCUUGCUGUCACUUAUAGAUGGAUCCGCGCUGCAUUAGCUAGUUGGUAAGGUAACGGCUUACCAAGGCAACGAUGCAUAGCCGACCUGAGAGGGUGAUCGGCCACACUGGAACUGAGACACGGUCCAGACUCCUACGGGAGGCAGCAGUAGGGAAUCUUCCGCAAUGGGCGAAAGCCUGACGGAGCAACGCCGCGUGGGUGAUGAAGGUCUUCGGAUCGUAAAACUCUGUUAUUAGGGAAGAACAUAUGUGUAAGUAACUGUGCACAUCUCGACGGUACCUAAUCAGAAAGCCACGGCUAACUACGUGCCAGCAGCCGCGGUAAUACGUAGGUGGCAAGCGUUAUCCGGAAUUAUUGGGCGUAAAGCGCGCGUAGGCGGUUUUUUAAGUCUGAUGUGAAAGCCCACGGCUCAACCGUGGAGGGUCAUUGGAAACUGGAAAACUUGAGUGCAGAAGAGGAAAGUGGAAUUCCACGUGUAGCGGUGAAAUGCGCAGAGAUAUGGAGGAACACCAGUGGCGAAGGCGACUUUCUGGUCUGUAACUGACGCUGAUGUGCGAAAGCGUGGGGAUCAAACAGGAUUAGAUACCCUGGUAGUCCACGCCGUAAACGAUGAGUGCUAAGUGUUAGGGGGUUUCCGCCCCUUAGUGCUGCAGCUAACGCAUUAAGCACUCCGCCUGGGGAGUACGACCGCAAGGUUGAAACUCAAAGGAAUUGACGGGGACCCGCACAAGCGGUGGAGCAUGUGGUUUAAUUCGAAGCAACGCGAAGAACCUUACCAAAUCUUGACAUCCUUUGACAACUCUAGAGAUAGAGCCUUCCCCUUCGGGGGACAAAGUGACAGGUGGUGCAUGGUUGUCGUCAGCUCGUGUCGUGAGAUGUUGGGUUAAGUCCCGCAACGAGCGCAACCCUUAAGCUUAGUUGCCAUCAUUAAGUUGGGCACUCUAAGUUGACUGCCGGUGACAAACCGGAGGAAGGUGGGGAUGACGUCAAAUCAUCAUGCCCCUUAUGAUUUGGGCUACACACGUGCUACAAUGGACAAUACAAAGGGCAGCGAAACCGCGAGGUCAAGCAAAUCCCAUAAAGUUGUUCUCAGUUCGGAUUGUAGUCUGCAACUCGACUACAUGAAGCUGGAAUCGCUAGUAAUCGUAGAUCAGCAUGCUACGGUGAAUACGUUCCCGGGUCU
rnacentral:rRNA from 1 species